UUCUUUCAAGGUGGACAAUGAAGGAGAUGUCGGAGUUAUGGGUCUGCAGAUUUGCUAAUCUUUCAUUGUAACUGUAGAUAUUUGCUUAACUUUUCUGUUAUCUUUCACAUAAUGUGUGAAUUUUCAAUCUCAACUUGGCUGAGGAUUCUUGCUGCCAUUGAAUGAAGGAGGAGGCUUCCCCAUCGAUUAAUAACCUAGUGUUUUACGUGGAUCCAAAUUAAAUGUAGAUCAUUUGUGGGAGUUCAGGACUUGUUCAAGUGGUCCAUUCCACUGUGGGAAUCAAUUUGGUCAUCAAGAUGGCGACUGUGAUUAAUACACACCAGAGCUAUCUUCGCAUUCCCCGAGUCUCUGUUCAUCCUGCAGAUGAUGAGGUGGAACAGAUGGAGAAUGGACAAAGCAGGACCCAGACCCUUGUUGAUGACAGGGAGAUGUCCAACAUUAACAACAGCAACAACAAUGAUGAAGAGAAAGAAACAAAGAAGGAAUCCAAAAAGAGCAAAAAAGAGAAAAAGGGGUAAGGAGAAAAGACUUA